CAGUAGGGUGCCAUCAAGAGGUGUAUUUGGAAA
rnacentral:rRNA from 1 species